CCUACGGGCGGCAGCAGUGAGGAAUAUUGGUCAAUGGACGAGAGUCUGAACCAGCCAGGUAGCGUGAAGGAUGACUGCCCUAUGGGUUGUAAACUUCUUUUAUAUGGGAAUAAAAUGUUCCACGUGUGGGAUUUUGUAUGUACCAUAUGAAUAAGGAUCGGCUAACUCCGUGCCAGCAGCCGCGGUAAUACGGAGGAUCCGAGCGUUAUCCGGAUUUAUUGGGUUUAAAGGGAGCGUAGGUGGAUUGUUAAGUCAGUUGUGAAAGUUUGCGGCUCAACCGUAAAAUUGCAGUUGAAACUGGCAGUCUUGAGUACAGUAGAGGUGGGCGGAAUUCGUGGUGUAGCGGUGAAAUGCUUAGAUAUCACGAAGAACUCCGAUUGCGAAGGCAGUUCACUGGACUGCAACUGACACUGAGGCUCGAAAGUGUGGGUAUCAAACAGGAUUAGAUACCCGAGUAGUC
rnacentral:rRNA from 1 species